AGUGAACGCUGGCGGUAGGCCUAACACAUGCAAGUCGAACGGCAGCACAGUAAGAGCUUGCUCUUACGGGUGGCGAGUGGCGGACGGGUGAGGAAUACAUCGGAAUCUACUUUUUCGUGGGGGAUAGCGUAGGGAAACUUACGCUAGUACCGCAUACGACCUACGGGUGAAAGCAGGGGAUCUUCGGACCUUGCGCGAUUGAAUGAGCCGAUGUCGGAUUAGCUAGUUGGCGGGGUAAAGGCCCACCAAGGCGACGAUCCGUAGCUGGUCUGAGAGGAUGAUCAGCCACACUGGAACUGAGACACGGUCCAGACUCCUACGGGAGGCAGCAGUGGGGAAUAUUGGACAAUGGGCGCAAGCCUGAUCCAGCCAUACCGCGUGGGUGAAGAAGGCCUUCGGGUUGUAAAGCCCUUUUGUUGGGAAAGAAAAGCAGCAGGUUAAUACCCCGCUGUUCUGACGGUACCCAAAGAAUAAGCACCGGCUAACUUCGUG
rnacentral:rRNA from 1 species